CUUAUCAACUGUCGAUGGUAGGUUCCAUGCCUACCAUGGUGGUAACGGGUAACGGGGAAUCAGGGUUCGAUUCCG
rnacentral:rRNA from 14 species